rnacentral:rRNA from 1 species
AUGAUUGAUUCUGACCCAGUUCCUGCAGCUCCAGCUCCCGUGCAAGUUGAAGCAGAUGCAGAAAAUGUACAAGAUGAUGUACAUGAUGGUGCAGGUGAAGAAGAUGCUCCCCAGCAGCAGCAACAAGAGUAUAGCGCUGAAGUUGAUGAUCCGGAUCAGCAGGAAGCACCGGCACCAGAAAGUCCACCAGCUGCUCCACUCAGAAGAUCCAACAGGGGUCGAAUUCCUUCCAGCAGGUAUCCCUCAGAUCAAUACGUGGUGUUAUUAUCUGAUGGUUCAGAACCUGAAUGCUUUGCAGAUGCAAUGGAAGAUGAGCACAAGAAGGAGUGGAAAAAUGCUAUGCACGAAGAGAUGGAUUCCUUGCAUAAGAAUCAUACUUAUGAGUUGGUGACGUUGCUCAAGGGCAAGAAAAUUUUGAAGAACAAGUGGGUCUACAGAAUCAAGCAAGAAGAGCACACAUCACAUCCAAGGUACAAGGACAGGCUAGUUGUAAAAGGAUUCAACCAGAGAAAAGGCAUUGACUAUGAUGAGAUAUUUUCUCCGAUUGUGAAGAUAACAUCCAUAAGAGUAAUCCUUGGCAUGGCAACAAGUCUCAACUUGGAGGUUGAGCAAAAGGAUGUGACGACUGCAUUUCUUCAUGGUGAGUUGGAGGAAGAAAUAUACAUGGAGCAACCUGAGGGGUUUCUUGUGAAAGGCAAAGAAGACUAUGUGUGCAAGCUGAAGAAAAGUCUCUAUGGCCUGAAACAAGCACCAAGACAAUGGUACAUGAAGUUUGAAGCUGUCAUGGGGGAGCAAAGAUACAAGAAGUGUAGCUCAGACCAUUGUGUGUUUAUUCAGAGGUUCUCAGGUGAUGAUUUCAUCAUAUUAUUGUUCUAUGUUGAUGAUAUCCUGAUUGUUGGCAAGAAUGCCUCUAGGAUUGCUAAGUUGAAGGAGUUGAGCAAAUGUUUUUCUAUGAAAGACUUAGGUCCAGCAAAGAACAUUCUCGAGAUGAGAAUUGAGCGAGACAGAAAUUGCAACAAGUUGUACUUGUCUCAAGAAAAGUAUAUUGAGAAGGUACUUCAGAAGUUUAGGAUGGAAAAUGCUAAAGUUGUGAGUUGUCCACUAGCAGUCCAUUUCAAGUUGAGCAGAAAGCAAUGUCCUACCACUGAUGAGAAGAAAAAGGAAAUGCAUAAUGUUCCUUAUGCUUCGGCGGUAGGGAGUUUGAUGUAUGCUAUGGUAUGUACAAGGCCUGAUAUUGCUCAUGCAAUUAGUACUGUGAGCAGAUUUAUGUCCAAUCCAGAAAGACCUCAUUAG